CGAAGAACUAGUAUCAAUUCAGCACAUACUUUAAUUUUUAAAUUCGCUGAGAAAACAAGAAAUAAUAUUUUAUCGAUGGUUUGAGUAUUUAUUUUGAAUGCAACGCACACGAACCUAUACUUAACAAAUUCCCAUUCCCAAAUGUUUCACUAUAAAUAAUACUAAACUUAUUACCUAUAUACCUGAAUAGAAAUCAAAUAUUUCAGGAAAUCACAUAUACCAUAUACCUUUUUAUAUGUGAAACUUUUCAAGUCGAAAUUUAAUUCUAUAUGCAUUAUACAAAUAAUGUAUUGAAGUUGAAAAUUCGGAGUAAAAAUAUCUAAUAUACAAUUU